UACGCAGCUUGAAGAUUGUAGUCACUUGGAUAUAGCACUUCGGGUCAUCUUUUUUCUCCGAGUUUCCCUUUAAGGCCUGGUGAUUAUGUGAUUUCCCUCUUCUUUACUCACUCCCCUAGGUUCUUCCCGCAAAGAGAUAACAGAACACUGGGAAUGGCUGGAGAACAACUUACUCCAGACGCUGUCCAUCUUCGACAGUGAGGAAGAUAUCACCACUUUCGUCAAGGGCAAGAUACACAACAAGAGUGAUGAAACGAGAGCACUUUCUAUGUGAGUCCUGUGCUGAGCACUUAUAUUUGGGGCACUGGGUAAGUCACAGGUGGUGUACAUAGUGGACUAUCUUACAGCUAUCAAAAUAAUAAUUAUGAGAAUUGUAGCAACAUGUAAAACUAGAUACCAUGGUGAUAUUUAGGUUGUUUCCUCUUGCGGGUAAUUAACAUGAUAAUGAGCAUUUA